AACGAACGCUGGCGGCAUGCCUAACACAUGCAAGUCGAACGACACCUUCGGGUCUAGUGGCGCACGCGUGCGUAACGCGUGGGAACCUGCCUUUAGGUUCGGAAUAAUUCAGUGAAAUUUGAGCUAAUACCGGAUGAUUUCUUCUGACCAAAGAUUUAUCGCCUUUAGAUGGGCCCGAGUUGGAUUAGCUUGUUGGUGGGGUAAAGGCCUACCAAGGCGACGAUACAUAGCUGGUCUGAGAGGAUGAUCAGCCACACUGGGACUGAGACACGGCCCAGACUACUACGGGAGGCAGCAGUGGGGAAUAUUGGACAAUGGGCGAAAGCCUGAUGGCGCAAUGCCGCGUGAGUGAUGAAGGCCUUAGGGUUGUAAAGCUCUUUUAUCCGAGAUGAUAAUGACAGUAUCGGGAGAAUAAGCACCGGCUAACUCCGUG
rnacentral:rRNA from 1 species